rnacentral:rRNA from 1 species
GAGUAAGUAAAAAAGAGUAUAUGGUGAAUGCCUUGGCACAAAAAGUCGACGAAGGACGUAACAGACUGCGAUAAGCCUCGGAUAGCUGUCAAUAAGCGCUUUAAUCCGGGGAUUUCCGAAUGGGGAAACCCAACUCUGGUCAUGCAGAGUUACUUUGUGAUGAAUACAUAGUCACGAAGAUGAUAAGCCAGCGAAGUGAAACAUCUCAGUAGCUGGAAGAAAAGAUACAAAUAUUAGUAUUCCCUAAGUAGUGGCGAGCGAAAGGGGAAGAGCCCAAACCUUGCAGGUAGGAGAAGUUAGUGGAUGGUACUUGUACCGGAAGCUUUCAUCUCACCGUUGUAGCGGUGGUUGCAGCAAGGUGUUGUAGGGUAUUACAUGAGCGUACUACAAUGCGCACAAAUGAGUUACAAAUGUAAAAUCUAGCAGAAUACAGCUGGAAAGCUUAACCGCAGAGGGUAAUAGUCCCGUAAGCGAAAGGUUUUACA